AUUGAACGCUAGCGGGAUGCUUUACACAUGCAAGUCGAACGGAGUGGCGGACGGGUGAGUAAUAUCUCGGAACGUGCCCAGUAGCGGGGGAUAACUCCUCGAAAGAGUGGCUAAUACCGCAUACUAUUUGAUAGGCCGAUAUGGGAUUAGCUAGUUGGUGGGGUAAAGGCUCACCAAGGCCACGAUCCGUAGCUGGUUUGAGAGGCUGACCAGCCACACUGGGACUGAGACACGGCCCAGACUCCUACGGGAGGCAGCAGUGGGGAAUGUUGGACAAUGGGGGAAACCCUGAUCCAGCCAUCCCGCGUGUAUGAUGAAGGCCUUCGGGUUGUAAAGUACUUUUGGCAGAGAAGCGGUAUCUGCAGAAUAAGAACCGGCUAACUACGUGCCAGCAGCCGCGGUAAUUC
rnacentral:rRNA from 1 species